rnacentral:rRNA from 1 species
UACGUAGGGUGCGAGCGUUGUCCGGAAUUAUUGGGCGUAAAGGGCGCGUAGGCGGCCACCGCAAGUCGACUGUGAAAUCUCCGGGCUUAACCCGGAAAGGUCAGCCGUUACUGCGGGGCUAGAGUGCAGAAGGGGCAACUGGAAUUCUCGGUGUAGCGGUGAAAUGCGUAGAUAUCGAGAGGAACACCUGCGGCGAAGGCGGGUUGCUGGGCUGACACUGACGCUGAGGCGCGAAAGCUAGGGGAGCGAACGGG